rnacentral:tRNA from 1 species
GCUUUCGUGGUGUAGCGGUCAGCACGCUCGACGCGAAACCGAGAGGUCCGGGGUUCGAUUCCUGGUAAAGGCA